rnacentral:rRNA from 1 species
GGAGUCUGGGCCGUGUCUCAGUCCCAAUGUGGCCGUUCAACCUCUCAGUCCGGCUACUGAUCGUCGACUUGGUGAGCCGUUACCUCACCAACUAUCUAAUCAGACGCGAGCCCAUCUUGCAGCGAUAAAUCUUUGAUAUGGUCACCAUGCGAUAUCCAUAUAUCAUGUGGUAUUAGCGAUCGUUUCCAAUCGUUAUCCCUCUCUGCAAGGCAGGUUGCUCACGUGUUACUCACCCGUCCGCCACUAAGAAACGCAUCUUUCCUCCCCGAAGGAUUCAAAACACGCUCUCCGUUCGACUUGCAUGUGUUAGGCGCGCCGCCAGCGUCGUCCUCGAGCACUGAUCAAACUACU